rnacentral:rRNA from 1 species
AGAGUUUGAUUCUGGCUCAGGACGAACGCUGGCGGCGUGCUUAACACAUGCAAGUCGAACGAGAAUCAAUGGAUCGAGGAUUCGUCCAAGUGAAGUUGAGGACAGUGGCGGACGGGUGAGUAACGCGUGAGGAACCUGUCCUACACAGGGGGAUAACACUUGGAAACAGGUGCUAAUACCGCAUAAGACCACGACAUCGCAUGGUGACGGGGUAAAAGAAUUAUCGGUGUAGGGUGAGCUCGCGUCUGAUUAGCUAGUUGGUGAGGUAACGGCCCACCAAGGCGACGAUCAGUAGCCGGACUGAGAGGUUGACCGGCCACAUUGGGACUGAGAUACGGCCCAGACUCCUACGGGAGGCAGCAGUGGGGAAUAUUGGGCAAUGGGCGCAAGCCUGACCCAGCAACGCCGCGUGAAGGAAGAAGGCUUUCGGGUUGUAAACUUCUUUUGUCGAGGAAGAGCAGAAGACUGUACUCGGCGAAUAAGCCACGGCUAACUACGUGCCAGCAGCCGCGGUAAUACGUAGGUGGCAAGCGUUGUCCGGAUUUACUGGGUGUAAAGGGCGUGUAGCCGGGUCGGUAAGUCAGAUGUGAAAUCCACGGGCUCAACUCGUGAACUGCAUUUGAAACUGCUGAUCUUGAGUAUCGGAGAGGCAAUCGGAAUUCCUAGUGUAGCGGUGAAAUGCGUAGAUAUUAGGAGGAACACCAGUGGCGAAGGCGGAUUGCUGGACGACAACUGACGGUGAGGCGCGAAAGCGUGGGGAGCAAACAGGAUUAGAUACCCUGGUAGUCCACGCAGUAAACGAUGAUGGCUAACUGUCGGGCCUUUAUGGGUUCGGCGGCCAAGCGAAAAGCGAUAAGCCAUCCACCUGGGGAGUACGACCGCAAGGUUGAAACUCAAAGGAAUUGACGGGGGCCCGCACAAGCGGAGGAACAUGUGGUUUAAUUCGAUGAUACGCGAGGAACCUUACCCAGGCUCGAACGGCAUCUGAAUUGUCCAGAGAUGGACAAGUCUUCGGACAGAUGUCGAGGUGCUGCAUGGUUGUCGUCAGCUCGUGCCGUGAGGUGUCGGCUUAAGUGCCAUAACGAGCGCAACCCUUGCCGUCAGUUGCCAUCAGGUGAAGCUGGGGACUCUGGCGGGACUGCCACCGCAAGGUGUGAGGAAGGGGGGGAUGACGUCAAAUCAGCACGGCCCUUACGUCUGGGGCGACACACGUGUUACAAUGGCGGCUACAGAGGGAAGCCACCCCGCGAGGGGGCGCGGAUCUGAAAAGGCCGUCUCAGUUCGGACUGGAGUCUGCAACCCGACUCCACGAAGCUGGAUUCGCUAGUAAUCGCGCAUCAGCCAUGGCGCGGUGAAUACAAUCCCGGGCCUUGCACACACCGCCCGUCA